UGGGGAAUAUUGCACAAUGGGCGAAAGCCUGAUGCAGCGACGCCGCGUGAGGGAUGACGGCCUUCGGGUUGUAAACCUCUUUCAGCAGGGAAGAAGCGAAAGUGACGGUACCUGCAGAAGAAGCGCCGGCUAACUACGUGCCAGCAGCCGCGGUAAUACGUAGGGCGCAAGCGUUGUCCGGAAUUAUUGGGCGUAAAGAGCUCGUAGGCGGUUAGUCGCGUCUGCUGUGAAAACUCGAGGCUCAACCUCGGGCUUGCAGUGGGUACGGGCUGACUAGAGUGCGGUAGGGGUGACUGGAAUUCCUGGUGUAGCGGUGGAAUGCGCAGAUAUCAGGAGGAACACCGAUGGCGAAGGCAGGUCACUGGGCCGCAACUGACGCUGAGGAGCGAAAGCAUGGGGAGCGAACAGGAUUAGAUACCCUGGUAGUCCAUGCCGUAAACGUUGGGCACUAGGUGUGGGUCCAUUCCACGGAUUCCGUGCCGCAGCAAACGCAUUAAGUGCCCCGCCUGGGGAGUACGGCCGCAAGGCUAAAACUCAAAGGAAUUGACGGGGUCAUAGCUGUU
rnacentral:rRNA from 1 species